GGCAGGGAAGAGGGAAGGUGUGGCGCUCUUGUCUGUGUUUCCUGAGGCGGUGUUACCAGAUCAGUGCAAGUUCCCCCUGCUCCCUCCCAUCCCAGCCUCCCCCAGCCGCUCAUCCCCCGCCAGCCUCCCCUGCUUUCCCUCCCCUGUCAGCCCCUGCCAGUCUCUACCAGCCUUCUGACGCCAAGAUGAAGGUGGUGGUGGUGGUGGUGGUGGUGGUAGCAACAUUACAGGUUCAGGCGACACAGACGAAGAAAACAGCGAAGGACUCCAACCCUGAGGCACACCAGCUGAACUCCCGCCCUUCACUGCAGCCCGACCCUCUCCACCCUGCUGCUGAGGAGGACUUGACUGAAGGUUUUGGCAAUAGUAGCAGUAGUAGUAGUAGUAGUAGUAGUAAUGAAGAUGGUACUACUAACUUGAGCAACACUAGUAGCAAAAAGGAACUAAAAACUAAACCGACCACUUUUAAAACACGCCAAAAAACUCAGAUCCGCAAAAGACUCCGAACAGAACACAAUCGUUCGUUGAAGCAGUCCCGAAACAGACCAAGAACCGCUUUACGUAGACCUGGAUUGAGGAAGUUCAACAGAAGACCGUUUAGGAAUCGCGCGGGUAGUGGUAGUAGUAGUAGUAGUGAGGAGGAGGAGGAGGAAGAGAGACGAGAGGAUGAGGAAGAGAGGCUAAGGGAAAUGAGAGAGGAGGAGGAGGAGGCGAGGCAAG